rnacentral:rRNA from 1 species
CUACGGGUCGCUCCAGUGGGGAAUAUUGGACAAUGGGGGAAACCCUGAUCCAGCAAUGCCGCGUGUGUGAAGAAGGCCUGCGGGUUGUAAAGCACUUUCGGUUGGGAGGACUGCUUCUAGCACUAAUAUUGUUGGAAGUUGACGUUACCUUCAGAAGAAGCACCGGCUAGCUCCGUGCCAGCAGCCGCGUGUAAUACGGAGGGUGCAAGCGUUAAUCGGAAUUACUGGGCGUAAAGCGCGCGUAGGCGGCUAGAUCAGUCGGGUGUGAAAGCCCCGGGCUUAACCUGGGAACUGCAUCCGAUACUGUCUAGCUUGAGUACAGGAGAGGAGAGUGGAAUUCCACAUGUAGCGGUGAAAUGCGUAGAUAUGUGGAGGAGCACCAAUGGCGAAGGCAGCUCUCUGGCCUGAUACUGACGCUGAGGUGCGAAAGCGUGGGGAGCAAACAGGAUUAGAUACCCGAGUAGUC